CAGAGCGUUUUUGAUCCCAAACUGCAUUACCUUAAACUGGUAUAAGCCGAAUGGGGUAACAAAGGCCGACUUUGGAAUGGCUUCAGGGGCCAGGGGGAUCUGCCAAAUACCACUUACAAAGAUCAAUUGUCGUGAGGUAUUGGCCCCGGGCCAUUCUGUCUAAUAGUUCGUCUAUCCUGGGCAUGGGAUACGCAUCUGACAUGGUUUUAUUGUUUAACCUCCGGCAAUCCACUCAGAACCGUGUCAGACCAUCCCGUUUAGGUACGAGGACUACAGGGGAGGCCCAGGGCCUGUCAGAAG